rnacentral:rRNA from 1 species
CCUACGGGAGGCUGCAGUGGGGAAUUGUUCACAAUGGGCGCAAGCCUGAUGACGCAACGCCGCGUGGAGGAUGAAGGUCUUCGGAUUGUAAACUCCUGUUGCUUGGGACGCGGUACCAAGUGAGGAAGCCCCGGCUAACUCUGUGCCAGCAGCCGCGGUAAUACAGAGGGGGCAAGCGUUGUUCGGAAUUACUGGGCGUAAAGGGCGCGUAGGUGGCCUCCUAAGUCGAACGUGAAAUCCCUGGGCUCAACCCAGGAACUGCGUCCGAGACUGGGAGGCUUGAAUCCGGGAGAGGGAUGCGGAAUUCCAGGUGUAGCGGUGAAAUGCGUAGAUAUCUGGAGGAACACCGGUGGCGAAGGCGGCAUCCUGGACCGGAUUGACACUGAGGCGCGAAAGCCAGGGGAGCAAACGGGAUUAGAUACCCCUGUAGUC